rnacentral:sRNA from 1 species
UUAAAAAUCUUGUUGACAAAUAUCGGCAAGAAUUAUACCAAUAGACAAAUGAACACAAACUUUUCGGUUCGCCCUUUUCUCUCUCUUAGAAUUUUACUCUCCCUUUUCUCUAAAACUCCAGCCGCCGCCUGUAUUUAGGGUUACCGGUUCCGGUGGCUUUCUCAGCACCGGAACCGGGGUCUUUUGUUUUGCUCUUAUUCUACCUUUGUUUUAUUUUCUCUUUAGACACAUCUGAGAGAUUUUCUUCCAACGGUUUUGAAUCUGAAUUUUCAGAUCUAGAUAUAUAAAGUCUAAAACUUUUCCUUUCUAGGUUUUUGCUGCUUGUCUUUUGUCUUUUUCAAGAGCAGAGUCAGAUAUGGCCAAUCUAUCCAAGGCAGAGACGUUUCUAUCCGAAUUUUCGCCUCAGACUUCUGAAAUUUCACCUGAAGAUCCCGAUCUCGUUCUCUCCUUUAUAAGGCUCUCAC